UCCCGUUUAGCUCAGUUGGUAGAGCGCGUCACUAGUAAUGUGCUUACGUAAUGACGAGGUCAGUCGUUCAAGUCGGCUAAUGGGAA